rnacentral:rRNA from 1 species
CCUACGGGUGGCAGCAGUGAGGAAUAUUGGUCAAUGGCCGUAAGGCUGAACCAGCCAAGUCGCGUGAAGGAAGAAGGAUCUAUGGUUUGUAAACUUCUUUUAUAGGGGAAUAAAGGUAUCCACGUGUGGAUAUUUGCAUGUACCCUAUGAAUAAGCAUCGGCUAACUCCGUGCCAGCAGCCGCGGUAAUACGGAGGAUGCGAUAGUUAUCCGGAUUUAUUGUGUUUAAAGGGUGCGGAGGUUGUUUUUUAAGUCAGCGGUGAAAGUUUGUGGCUCAACCAUAAAAUUGCCGUUGAAACGGGAAGGCUGGAGUGUCUUGGAGGGGGGUAGAAUGCGUGGUGUAGCGGUGGAAUGCAGAGAUAUCAGGAAGAACCCCGAUGGCGAAGGCAGCUUACUAGACCAAAACUGACACUGAGGUACGAAAGCGUGGGGAGAAAACAGGAUUAGAUACCCAAGUAGUC